rnacentral:rRNA from 5 species
CGGACUGGCCCAGGGAGGUCGGCAACGACCACCCAGGGCCGGAAAGUUCGUCAAACUUGGUCAUUUAGAGGAAGUAAAAGUCGUAACAAGGUCUCCGUAGGUGAACCUGCGGAGGGAUCAUU